rnacentral:misc_RNA from 1 species
AGUGUUUGCUUGUGUGCAAGAUUUUAAUCAUGUCCAAAAGAAUCACAUCUAAGUGCAGUUAAAAGGAUCUUUAGAUAUCUCAUUGGCACAUAUUCAAUUGGUUUAUGGUAUCCAAAAUGUGAAUCAUUUGAUCUUAUUGGUUAUAGUGAUUCAGAUUUUACUGGUAGUAGAUUAGACAGAAAAAGCACUUCUGGAACUUGUCAAUUUCUAGGUCAUGCAUUAGUUUCAUUGCACAGUAAAAAGCAAACUUCUGUUGCACUUUCUACUGCAGAAGCUGAAUAUAUUGCAGCUGGAAGUUGUGUUGCACAGAUUUUAUGGAUGAAACAACAACUUGAAGACUUUGAAAUUAAAUUUGAUCACAUUCCCAUAAGAUGUGACAAUACUAGUGCUAUAAACCUAUCAAAAAAUCCUGUUCAACACUCUAGAAGCAAGCAUAUUGAAAUUAGACAUCAUUUUAUUAGGGAUCAUGUUCAAAAUGGUGAUAUUCAAAUUGAAUUUGUCCCUUCAGAAAAACAGCUUGCUGAUAUUUUUUCAAAGCCACUUAAUGAGGAAAUUUUCUGCAAAAUAAGAAGAGAACUUGGUAUGAUUGAUGCUUUUGAUUAAGUUUUGAUGUAUUCUCAUGUUUACAUAUGAAAAUGAAGUGAUUUAUGUUGAUUUGCAGUGUUGAAAAUGCAUUCUGAUAUUUUUGGUGCAAUUUGAAAAAUUCUGGGUUAUAUCAGAUAUGAACAGUAAUCUGCAGAAUUUGCUCUCAGUGGCAUACUAAUCCGUUUGCUAAUUUUCUUGUUUGCUAAAUGCUUUACCACUGCUCCUACUUUUUCGUUGGCAAACUGGAAGUCAGGUUUGAUUGUACUAAAACUCUAAAAGUAUUCUUAUUUUCGAGCGCCUAUUCUGCAUGUUUAAAGUCCAUAUGACUUAAAUAUCCCUCUACUUAAAGUAUUGCAUCAUUAUGUAUUUAAGGGCAAAAUGGACUUUUUAACACUUUGAUUUGCGCGGGAUUUAAUUUUUUUCUUCUGAACCAUCAGUCUUCUCGCCGUCUCUCCUCUGCUACACGCUACCUAUUCCCUGCAAAAACCUACAGUUGUGUCUUUUCAAGUUUUAAAAUUCAAAACUCUUCUUUCCGUCGCCUCGUUUCCCAGAACCCGAACGACUGCCUUUCUCUUUCCACUCACAAAACCAUUUCGGUCGCACCAUUCCAAGCCAUCGUCUCGCCUCAUCGUUCUCAAAUAUUUCCGAAACCUGUUGAUAGUGAAUCGAUUAAAUCGAUUGUUUGUAGAAAGAAAAUUCCCAAUAUUUUUCGUUACCUUUAUUUCACUGAAUCUGCCGAAAGAAAUCAUUUGCUGUUGGUUAUUUUUCUUUAUCGAUUCGCACACUCUGUUUCAGUAUAUUUCAGGUAUAAAGUCUAAACCUUUAAUGGAAUCGUGUUUCAUAUUCUUCUAUGCCUGUUUGUUCUGCUUUCGUAAUAUGCUGAUAAUUUUUUUUUCUGCUUGAUUUGCUCUCGCCUGUUUGUUCUGUUGUUAAUUUUUUUUUUGGGCAUUAACAUUUCGUAAAAUGUGGUAUAUAAUAAUAAAUCGACUGCCAUGGAUUCGUAAGAACUCGAAUAUUUUUUUCUUGCUGUCUGUUCUAAUUUUUUUUGUCAUUGCGCUCCGUUGUGAAAAAUGGAUGUUGAUAUGCUUAAAUUGAUUAUAUAUAUAAAUAUAUAUAUAUUGGCUGCUCACAUCACUGAAUUUAUAAUCUCAGUUCUCACUGUCCUUACGGCCUAUCUUGUUUCUGAGAUUGGUUAUGGCGCGGGACAAAGGAAAAGGGAAAGCCAAAAUCCCCACAUAUUCAUCAUCGGACUCAACUGACGCAAGUGUUCCUGCGUCUCCUCCUACACAAAAAGAUGCUUCUCUGGUAAUUGGCAAAUCAAAAGAAACACCCAAGAAAAGAACCAGUGAGCCAGUUCAAGAAAAGGGAACCAAAAAGAAAAAGAUUUC